CAAUAGCGUAUAUUAAAGUUGUUGCGGUUAAAAAGCUCGUAGUUGGAUCUCGGCAGGCAGGGGGUGGUUCGCUCUUAGCGCUACUGCCCCAUUUGCCUGUGUGAUUGGCGGAGGUUUCGGGGUGCUCUUCGUUGAGUGACCCGGGGCGCCGUCAGGUUUACUUUGAAAAAAUUAGAGUGCUCAAAGCAGGCUUUUCACGCUUGAAUAUUCGUGCAUGGAGUAAUGGAAUAGGAACUCGUUUCUAUUUUGUUGGUUUUCGGAAAUCGAGUUAAUGAUUAAUAGGGACAAUUGGGGGCAUUAGUAUUCAGACGACAGAGGUGAAAUUCUUGGACCGUCUGAAGACUAACUACUGCGAAAGCAUUUGCCAAGAGUGUUUUCAUUAA
rnacentral:rRNA from 1 species